UACGGAGGGUGCAAGCGUUAUCCGGAUUCACUGGGUUUAAAGGGUGCGUAGGAGGGCAGGUAAGUCAGUGGUGAAAUCUCCGAGCUUAACUUGGAACUGCCGUUGAUACUAUCUGCCUUGAAUAUUGUUGGAGGUGAGCGGAAUAUGUCAUGUAGCGGUGAAAUGCUUAGAUAUGACAUAGAACACCAAUUGCGAAGGCAGCUCGCUACACAUAUAUUGACUCUGAGGCACGAAAGCGUGGGGAUCAAACAGG
rnacentral:rRNA from 1 species